GGAGUUUGGACCGUGUCUCAGUUCCAAUGUGGGGGACCUUCCUCUCAGAACCCCUACUGAUCGUCGCCUUGGUGGGCCGUUACCCCGCCAACAAGCUAAUCAGUCGCAUCCUCAUCCAUCGCCGAUAAAUCUUUAUUGACGUAACGAUGCCGAAACGUCAAACCAUCAGGUAUUAAUCUUUCUUUCGAAAGGCUAUCCCUGAGCCAUGGGUAGAUUGGAUACGCGUUACGCACCCGUGCGCCGGUCGCCAUCAAUUCUAGCAAGCUAGAAUCAUGCUGCCCCUCGACUUGCAUGUGUUAAGCCUGCAGCUAGCGUUCAUC
rnacentral:rRNA from 1 species